AGAGUUUGAUCCUGGCUCAGGAUGAACGCUAGCGACAGGCUUAACACAUGCAAGUCGAGGGGCAGCAAUUUGUAGCAAUACAAAGUUGGCGACCGGCGCACGGGUGAGUAACGCGUAUGCAACCUACCCACAACAGAAGAAUAAUCCGGCGAAAGUCGGUCUAAUACUUCAUAAAACAGGGACACCGCAUGGUGUUAUUUGUUAAAGAUUUAUCGGUUGUGGAUGGGCAUGCGUGCCAUUAGGUAGUUGGUGAGGUAACGGCUCACCAAGCCUACGAUGGUUAGGGGUUCUGAGAGGAAAGUCCCCCACACUGGUACUGAGACACGGACCAGACUCCUACGGGAGGCAGCAGUGAGGAAUAUUGGUCAAUGGGCGAGAGCCUGAACCAGCCAAGUCGCGUGAAGGAUGACUGUCUUAUGGAUUGUAAACUUCUUUUGUAGGGGAAUAAAGAGAGGCACGUGUGCCUCAGUGAAUGUACCCUACGAAUAAGCAUCGGCUAACUCCGUGCCAGCAGCCGCGGUAAUACGGAGGAUGCGAGCGUUAUCCGGAUUUAUUGGGUUUAAAGGGUGCGUAGGCGGCCUGUUAAGUCAGCGGUGAAAUCUAGGAGCUUAACUCCUAAAUUGCCAUUGAUACUGGCGGGCUUGAGUGUAGAUGAGGUAGGCGGAAUGCGUGGUGUAGCGGUGGAAUGCAUAGAUAUCACGCAGAACUCCGAUUGCGAAGGCAGCUUACUAAGGUACAACUGACGCUGAAGCACGAAAGCGUGGGUAUCAAACAGGAUUAGAUACCCUGGUAGUCCACGCAGUAAACGAUGAUAACUGGGCGUAUGCGAUAUACAGUAUGCUCCUAAGCGAAAGCGUUAAGUUAUCCACCUGGGGAGUACGCCGGCAACGGUGAAACUCAAAGGAAUUGACGGGGGCCCG
rnacentral:rRNA from 1 species